rnacentral:rRNA from 1 species
UACGUAGGGAGCAAGCGUUGUCCGGAAUCCUUGGGCGUAAAGCGCGCGUAGGUGGCCCAGUAAGUCCGCUCUGAAAGUCAAAGGCUCAACCUUUGAAAGCGGGUGGAUACUGCCAGGCUAGAGUCCGGAAGAGGCGAGUGGAAUUCCUGGUGUAGCGGUGAAAUGCGCAGAUAUCAGGAAGAACACCCGUGGCGAAGGCGGCUCUCUGGGACGUGACUGACGCUGAGACGCGAAAGCGUGGGGAGCAAACAGG